rnacentral:tRNA from 1 species
CGGAGAGGUGGCCGAGUGGCCGAAGGCGCUCCCCUGCUAAGGGAGUAUACCCUUAACCGGUAUCGAGGGUUCGAAUCCCUCCCUCUCCGCCAU